ACCUGUUUAAUAAGAACAUUGUGUUAAGGCAUUGGCACAUUUUUACAACAGGAUCCACAACUGGAAAACAUGUUUAAUGUCAAACCAAUAUUGUCAAAUUUAAAGUGGUCACCAAAGUUUUAAAUGUUACACUUAAACAUAUCUGGGUGAAUCCAAUACUAUUUCUAAAUCAAUUAUGGCUGCUCAUUGCUGUUUUUUUAGCAUUGUUUUUCCAAAGUAAAGUUUUCGUCCUCUGUGUGGAGUCAUCCUGAUUUGAUUCGCUAUGAAUA